GUCACAUUUUGACCUGAAGUAACACUUGGUUACUUGGUCUUCUAUCCCUUGAAGGAGAGAAACGAUGCUGGAGAAAUCUUUGGUUUCGACAGAGGGUUGAACUGAUGGGCCACUCAGGAAGUCUGAUGAUGGAAACUUUCAGGUGGAAACGUCUUCACUUUCUCACCAAGCAGCAUUUUUCAAAUACUGUGGAUCAUGGGAAGGAAGUAUGGACCAGAGUUUCGUUCAGCAAAAGCAGAUCCCAGGUUUCACAGACAAGUGCUCAACACUAUCAGAAGGAUCAACAGGACCCAGCAAAGCCUUUCAGACAGAAGAGUAAAUCCAACCCAUCGCAAUAGGAUGGAUUUAGGAAGUGCAUGAAUAUCUAUCAUCUAUUAUGAUGGAAUAUCAGUUCUACAAUCAGUUUUUUGGAUUUACACCUGAAUCCCCAAACCAAUGAUUUGAUGAACAAAAAGCACGUGUUCAGGCCUCUUUGUCAUCCUGUCCCCCUUAGGGAAUGAAGGUUUUGUAAAAGAAAUAAACUGGAGUCCCAAAAGCAAACGGGGAAUCAGGAAAAGUCUUUUCCUGUGCUGACUUAAAGCCCUUGAGGAGAUUUUUUGCCACGUGAACGGGCUGUCUGAAAAAUCACACUUGGUUUGUUAAAGAGGAAAGGGUACUGGUAAAGAACAAAAAGGAAACAACUAAAUAAGAUCGACCAUACAAGAAAAAAAGAUUUCUAGAUGUAUUAAAUCAAAAAAAAGCAGCCUGUAUCGCAAAGAAAUGUACUGAAGUUUGUUUUCAUUCCAAAGGGAGGGGAAAGCCAAUAGAUAAAGUAUAGCAAACACAGUUUUAGACAUCAAUUUAAAACGGCACAACUAAGAUUGCUAAUUAAGAAAGAAACGUUUCAAUAUCUGAAAUGAAAUGCUCAAGUAAACAUCAGUGUGAAUGGAAAUGCUUGUUUGAUCCACCGCUUUGAAAUCAGUACUGUUCUACACAUAAACAUCUCAUUCCAAUUAAACCACGAUUUCUGUUGAGGGGAAACCCAUGUCUUCAUUCUGCUGACUGCUUCCCCGCCCUCACCAUUCAUUCCUCCCUCCCAGUGUGUACAAGUGUAUGGUUGGUCUCCCAGCGCUCAGGCGGACCUGCAGCUCCUGCUGAGCCAGCACUGCCAUAACUCCAACCUGUCCCAGCUUCCCCACAGCAACCUUUACAGAACAUUUACAGAGACCAAACAGUGGGUGUGAGCUCAGUGAACGGUAAGCAGUGCGUUUUAGCAGUGGUGGCAGUGAUAGUGGCUCACUUCCACGGGUGCAGAUUGUCCCUUGUGUGGCACACAGCUCUUAUUCAUUGCUGGUGAAAGAGCAGAGCUAAUGGUGGUGACUAUGUUGAGAAACAAUGCUUUGUAGGUGAGGAUUUGCUCUGUCAAAUAGUGUCAUUGUGCUUUUUGUAGUGAUUUUAGUUUCCAUGGAAAUAAAUCGGAGGCUUUACUUUCGGAGCAACCUACGGCUCUGAGGCUGCUGCUUGGAUGCCAAGGGCUAUAGAAGGUGUGACUGUGGAUGUGGGUGCCUGUGCUCCCGCUGCACAUUUCCUGCCUGCAGCCAGGUGUGCUGCUGCCAUCGGAUGGAUUUCCCAGGCACCUCCUCAGGGCUGGCACGGCUUUUUGCUGCUGGCACGGAGCUGUGGCGGCUGUGCAGCCUCGGACAUGGGGGAUUUGUUUUUUCUUGGGACUGUGGCAGAAGCAGAGGAGCCAGCACUCCUAAGGCGCUAUCUUUUGGAGGAGCUGUUUGUUAGGGAGCUGUGUGACUGUCUUCAUCUCGUCUGACAGAGGGACAGGAGCAGGCAGCCCAGUUUCCUGCACUGUCUGCCUGGAAUCAGGCUCUCACCACUGCACCCUCCCUGCCUGCAGCCUGGCCCCUGUGAGAGCUCCUUGCCUGGGAAGACAAACAGGCGAGGGCUUUCGGCACAGGCGCUUUCCACCUGACAAGAACU